AUUUGCCCUUGUAGUUUAGACCAUUUUCGUUCUCUCAUUCUAUAAUUCAAAAGUUACACUGAACUAUCAUAUAUUUUAGCAUAUUUUUACUUUGCCGCUCCGUGGUUUGAAGGUUAUAUUUAACUAUUUUGUACUUUUUAAGAAAUUUAUUUUGUUACCAUAUUGGAUGGUGAAUUUUUUUUAGUAAAAUAAGAAUAAAAUCAUGUGAUAGUUAAGUACAACUUUUUUGAACUAUAAGGUGGCAAAAUAAAAUUGAGCUAAACUAUAUGGGUGCAAAUUGAAGUUUACUCUUUUUUUUUUGUUUUGAAAAAUACAGAUUUCAAAUCAAAUUUUAAUUUACUGUAUAUUUUUAAGUUUUUUUUUAGAAAUCGAGCUUAAAACUGAAUCUGAAUCAGAACAUCAUAUUUUAAUAUUUAAAAAAUAUGAUACAAAUAUACAAAACUUAUAUAACUAUGAACCAUUUUAGAUCUCUACUUAACCUUUCAAAAUUUUGAUUCUUAUUACCUACUAUGUCAAUUUGUUUGAUUUUUUUGACUUCAAAAUUUUCACUAAUUACUCACUUUAAUAAAUUUAUAGUUGCAAAAAUUAUAUGAAAUAUGCUAACAAAAUCUAUAAAGAUAAACAACACAUUUAAAUUUUGAAGUCAAAGUGCCGUUGACGAACUACAAUCAACUUACAAAACUAGAUAGUAAAAAAGAUUGAAUAACCAAAUUGAAAUAGUUCAUAAUUCAGAUAAGUUUUAUAUAUUUUCAUCAUAAAUACAUUAAUAAAAUAAUUGCCAAAUAUUUGUCUUUGGAUGAAGGAGUAUAAAAAUUCACAUCAGCUUUCACAGGAGGGUCCUAAUUUGGGAUUUCCGAACUACUAAUCCUAGAGUUUUUUAAUUAUAAAAAUAAUUAUUUUAAAUUUUUAUUUGUAAAACUAGACUUAAGCAAUGAAUUAAUUCACCGCUUUCUAAAAGUCAAACUUACAUCUAUCUAUUAUCUAUUACUUCUAUUACUAUAUACGAAAGUGCGUGGGAUAGUUUUCUUUUAUUGACCUGUGUCCAGUUCUACUAUUCGGUACACCCGGUGCACCGUAAACCAUUGAUUGUAGACAUAUGAAUGAUCUAUAAAAAAAUCUUUGGUGCAUCUGGUCUAUUCUUUCUUCUACAUUAAAGGAGGGUUUGGGGGAUUACACCUAUCCCCCAAAACCCUGCUCUCCUCUCUCUCCUUGCAUAUAUAUAUAUAUAAAGAGAGAGAGAGAGAGAGAGAGAGAGAGAGAGAGCUAGCUCAAUUAUAUAUGAGUCCGGCUGUGGUGCUUGUAAAUUUUUUACCGAUAGAUCUACGUCUUUGAUCAUUUUUAAUCGUUAGAUCCCAGAUUGUGGUCACUUCAUCCAGCCUAUCCCCCAGCAGGGUGUUCUCCAAGUUCAUCACCAUUAGAAAUCUGGAGAACACACACCGAGCCAAUAAGUGGUCGACCGUUUCCUCUUCAGUCCUGCACAGCACGCAUGUAGUAUUUCCAGUCCAGCCUCU
rnacentral:lncRNA from 1 species